GCUGGUUCGCACCUAUCAAUAAAUUAUCAAGUGUCAUCAUUAGCAUAAGGGAGAUGAAACCAGGGAGUGGAAAGACGAGACCCGGACACCCCUGUCCCAAGGCUGCCCCCAGCUGGUGCUGUGUUCUGCACAGUCCCUCUACCUCUCUGGGCCCCGUGUUUCCCUUGAAAACUGAAGGCUGGAUCCAGUCUCUAAAAAGACUGCAAAUUUGGAGUUUCCCGUUGAAGCUCAGCGGAUUAUGAACCGACUAAUAUCUAUGAGGAUGCAGAUUCGAUCCCUGGGCUCACUCAGUGGGUUAAGGAUCUGUCAUUGCUGUGAGCUAUGGUGUAGGUCACAGAUGUGGCUCGGAUCUCACAUUGCUGUGGCUGUGACAUAGGCUCAUAGCUGCAUCUCUGGUUCGACCCCCUAGCCUGGGAACUUCCAUAUGGGGCAGGUGCAGCCAUAAAAAGCAAAAUAAAAUAAAAUAAAAUGACUCCAAAUAUUAAAAUUCUGGGUCAGAAGCUCGAAAGCAGUGGUGUGGACCAAAGACCCCAGGAACACAAGAGAGGGGAUUCUGUAUCAGUAGAUGGGAAAACACCUUCCUGGCUGCAUCCUGGGGCCUAAUGGACAAAGAACUGGUAGCAUUUAGGAUGGAUGGGGUGCUGAGCCAGGUGGAGCACUGGGCAGGAGUGGGGACCUAAGAUGGGAAAGACAGGCUGAGAGCCAGUGGGAGAGGCCUUUACCUGAUGAUGGGGAAUGGCCAAUUACCUCUUCUCUCCACAUUAUUUCUUUUUCCUCUUCUUGGCCUCAGCAAUCGUUCGUCCUCGGGAGCCAGCCAUUCAAAUAUGUCCAGUCAAACAGGGGGAUCUCUUCAGUGCUUGAAACCUUAGUCUCAAAGCAAGAAUUUCCCAAAUGGCACAGCAGGCAGUGGACAAGCGGACUUAGAAAUUGAGGCCUUCAGUCCUGGAGGUGUGAGUCACUCACUGGCUGGUUAUUGUAGGAAUACUUUUAUUUUCUAUGUGUGCCAUGAUAUGACAAAGAUUGGGCGUGCUACCCUAAAGCAAUCUAGUCCACCGAGUUAAUUUGCCUAGCAAAUGUUACUUAUCAGCAGUCCAAGCAUGAACAGUAUUUAUAUUAAAUUGUUUUAUAUAUUAAUAUAUAAAAUGUAUAAUGUGAUAUGUUAUAUAUUUGAAAUACUACAUAUAGCUAUAUAUUUAAUAUAUACUAUAUUAAAUUUAUAUUGCUGUAGGUUGAAUGUAUCACCCCAACAUUCGUAUGUUGAAAUCUAAUCCCAAGUGUGAUGGCAUUUGGAGGCAGGGUCUUUGGGAGGUGAUUAGGUCAUGAGGGUGAAGCCCUCCCGAAUGGAGUUAGUGCCCUUAUAAAAGAGGUCCCAAGGAGCUCCCUUCUGCCAUGUGAAGACACAACAAAAAGAAGUCAGCCAUCGAUGAAUCUGGAGGUGGGUUCUCAUUAGAUGCUGAAUCUGCCAGCACUUUGCUCUUGGACUUCCUAGCCUCCAGAACAGUGAAAAAUAAAUUUUUGUUGUUUGUAAGUUCCUCAGUUUAUUUUUUUAUAGAAGCCUAAAAGAACUAAAGUAAUUAUAUUACGUUGUAUUAUACCAUCUUAUGAUAGAUAAAGGAAUAAAUGAAGCAAAGAGAGAAAAUUCACUCCAUGUGUAUUCCCUGAGCCCCUCGUAUGUGCCAGGCACUGUCCCAGACAUGAGGGAGACAGCUGCGAACAACAAGUCAAAGUAGACUUGAAUGCCUGCCCUCAUAGAGCUCAUACUAUAGCAGGUGAAAUGACAAUAAACAAGAAAAUAAAGAAAAUAUAUGAGCACUUUCCAGUCUGGCAUGUAAGGAGCUUGAAAGUCAUUCCUCCAUCCUAUCAAGUAAAAAUCUGAACAAACUGAAAAAUCAAAGAUUCUUAGAUCUGUUAGGGAGGUGAGUCCACAGGGCUAGCUGCCAUCUUGGAGAGACAGACAGACAGUUACAGAGAGUCACAACUUAGCAGAGCAGAGACUAGGGCAGGAAAACCUGAACUGGAAAUGACGUAUUGCUUGAGGCUCAGAGUGAACGCGUCUAAAAGUUAAAAACUCUCCACACUUUUGUAAGUUUUACCUCCAGGAUCUUAACCAGGUUCUCACAGGCAAUAUGGGACAAAAGUCUCCUUGCAUAUCCAGCAGAGGGAGGGGAAAAGCAAUCAUUUUGAAACACACCAGUGCAUCCCAUUCUUCUUAACAAGGCCUGUAUUCAAGAGAAACUAUUUUACCAAAGUCUGACCUAUUGAGGUUUUCUCAAGACCUGGCCUGGAAGAAGGGAAAUACUCAACUUCAGGCCAUCUAGCCACCCUGUCCUACCCAAGGUAGGAGAAGGAAAUUGAGAUACACUUGUGCAGUCCCCAGUCCAGGGGCACAGGCUCAGUAAAGAACUGAGAUCUAAUCACAGUCUCCCAAGGCAAAAACAAAAAUAAAUAGGACCUAACCAAACUUAGAAGCCUUUGCAUGGACAUGGAAACCAUCAACAAAAUGAAAAGACAAGCUACAGAAUGGGAGUAAAUAUUUGCAAAUUUGCCAUGAUGUGACUGACAAGGGCUUAAUUUUAAAAAUACGCCAACAGUUCACCUAACUUAUCAACCAAAAACCCACAAACAACCCAAUUGGAAAAUGGGCAGAAGACCUAAAUAGACAUUUCUCCAAAGCAAAUAUAUAGAUGGCCAGUAGGCCCAUGAAAAGAUGCUUAAUAUCACUAAUUAUUAGAGAAAUGCAAAUCAAAACUACAGUGAGGUACCACCUCACACCAGUCAGAAUGGCCAUCAUUGAAAAGUCUGCACAUGCUGAAGAGAGUGUGGAGAAAAGGGAACCCUCCUACACAGUUGGCGGGAAUGUAAGUUAGUACAACUGAUAUGGAGAACAAUAUGGAGAUUCCUUUAAAAAACUGAAAAUAAAACUACCCUAUGAUCCAGCAAUCCCACUCCUCGGCAUAUAACUAGAAAAGAUGAAAUCUCUAGCUCGAAAAGAUACAUGCACCACCAAAAUAGCAGCACUAUUUACAAUAACCAAGACAUAGAAGCAACCUAAGUGUCUUCUGACACAUGAAAGGAGAAAGAUGAUGUGGUACAUACAUAAAAUGGAAUAGUAUGCAGCCAUAAAAAUAAUACCAUUUAUAGCAACGUGGUUGGACCUAAAGAUUAUCAUACUCGGUGUAUUAAGUCAAACAAAUACCACAUGGCCUCACUUAUAUAUGGAAUUUUAAAAAGUGAUAGAAUUGAACUUAUUUAUAAAAUGAAAACAGACUUAUAGACAUAGAAAACAAACUUAUGUUUACCAAAGGGGCAAAGAUGACAGGAGGGAUAAAUUAGGAGUUUGGGAUUAACAGAUACGCAUUCUUAUAUAUAAAAUAGGUAAACAACAAAGACCAACCAUAUAGUACAGGAACCUAUAUUUAAUAUCUUACAAUAAAUUGUAAGGAAAAGAAUCUGAAAAAGUAUACAUAUAUAUAUUCUUACAAUAUUUAUAUAUAUAUUUACGACAUUGUAAAAUAACUACAUUUCAAUUUUUAAAAAAUUGGCCUUGUCUGUGGCAUGUAGAAGUCCCCGGGCCAGGGAUCAAACCCAAGCAAGAGCAGUGACAACAUCUCAUCCUUAACUGCUAGGCCACCAGGGAACUCCUAAAAAUAUUUUUAAUUAGAAAACUGAGGUCCAAUCAUAGGAAACUUGAACACGUCUCUUCCUGACACCUUAGCACCAUGUCCCUGAAGGCGUAUUUACCACCAUUAUUUUACUUGAGACAUAUGUCAUAACCCAGCUUUCAACAACAACAAAAGUUACCAGGCAUGCUAAAAAACCAAAAAAUACAAUUUUAAAAGACAGAGCAAGCAUCAGAAGCAACUCAGAUAUGGCAGCGAUUUCGUGUUAUCAGAGCAGGCAUUUACAACAACUAUAAUUAAUAUGCUAAGGGUCCUAAUGGCAAACAGUAGACAAUAUACAAGAACACGGAUCAUUGUGAUAUAAGAAAACAAGUUUGAUAUUUGUCCCUGGCUCUUGGCACAGAGCUGCGCAAGCUCCUGGAAUCUCCAGAGUGAUAAUGGUGUCUUUGGUGUGUUAAUGAAAUGACUCUUUUUUUUUUUUUACCUCAAUGACUUGUAUUAUAUUUAUAGCCAUACAACCAUCAUCACACCCCAGUUUUACAUUUCAUCCCAAACCCCCAGCCCAUCCCUCCCCCUGCCCCAACCUGUCUCCUUUGGUAACUGUAAGUUUGUCAAAGUCUGAGUCAGUUUCUGUUCCGCAAAGAAGUUCAGUGUGUACUCUUUUUAAGAUUCCACAUGUAAGUGAUAGCAUAUGACAUUGGUGUCUCCCUGUCUAACUUCACUUAGCAUGGUAAUUUCUAGGUAAUAAAAAUGACUCUUGCCUGCGGUGCCUGGAUAACUUCAGGAUGGGGGGCCGGUCACCAAGCAAGACCAAACCCUGUGACUAGAGGACUGGAAAUUUCAGCUCCAUCCUUGACCUCUGUGAAAGGGAAGGGAGGGACUGGAGAUUAUGUUCAGCCACCAAUGACCCAUAUUUUAAGUAAUCGUGCCUGGGUAAUGGAACCUCCAUAAAACGCUGUCAAGGACAGAAUUUGGAGAGCUUCCAAGUUGGUGGACACAUUAGGGGCCAGGAAGUGGUACACUCAGAGAGGGCGUGGGAGCUUUGUGCCCCUUGCCCCAGACCUUGUCCUCUUCAUCUCUGUCAUUCGGUGGUUCCCGAGUUGUGUCCUUUAUGAUAAACUGCUAAUAGUAAAUUAAAUGCUUUCCUGGUUGCUAUGAGUUAUUCUAGAAUAUCAUCAAACCUGAGGAGGGAGUUGUGGGGUUCCCCAGAUUUGCAGCCAGGACACACUGGGUAGCCUAUUUGUGACUGGUGUCUCAAGGGCAGAAAAUCUUGUGGGACUGAACCCUUAACCGGGGCAGUCAGUGCUAACUCAGGAGUUGGUGUCGGAGUUGAAUUGAAUGGUUGGGCACUCAGUUGGUGUCAGCGAAUUGGAGAAUUGAUUGGCAUUAGAAAACACUGGUUCCCGCUGUGGCACAGUGGGUUAAGAAUCCAACUGCCUUAGGUCCUGCAGAGGCACAGGUUCAAAUCCCAGCCCCGCACAGUGGGUUAAAGCAUCAAGCUUGUCACAGCUGCGACUCAGAGUCAAUCACUGGCCCAGGAACUUCUACAUGCUAUGAAUAUAGCCAUAAAAAAAAAAA
rnacentral:lncRNA from 1 species